CCCGGCAUCCUGUAGCUCAAGUCAGGUUGUCACGUACAAUGAUGAGCUAAGGAACCGAGGCGAGAAGCGUCGAGAAACAAAGAGAAGCUUUCAGCCUGCUCUUAUAUGCAGGGCCCCAGAAACUGAAAAGAAUCAUAAGGAAAUGCUUAGCAGGCUAGAAGGCACCCUGAGACCGUGGUUAGAAAUACUCUGGUGGACACGAGAGAAAACCCGAAUACAAAUUUAAAAUAAUAAUAAUAAAAAAAAAAUCAUUGAAUUCGAAGAUGGUUAUAGAAACUUCUACAAAUGGGAAAGCAGAGAAGAAACUCUGUAAUUGUGGGAUAAUCACAAAGACCUAGCACGGACGUAAUGAUGGGAGAACACAGGGAACCAAGGACGUGAAUAUUCCAAGAAUUAACAGCUGAGGUCUCUUGCAAGCUACAGAUCCGGGAAGCUCAGACAAACCCAGAAGAUUGUACCUGCUUUAAAGAAAAAAGAGAAGCUGCCCCGUUCAGGAAUUCUGCUGCAUGCUAACGGGGCAACCCCAGCGGCUGCUGAGUCACCAGGGUUAUCCUGGAACCGCAUCUGGGAAACAGCAAGUCCAGAGCAGUAAGAAGCCCCACGAUCUUCCGUGUACAACAGCGCCAGAAUUAACUCGGCUUCAGCCUCGUCUCCUGCAGGCCAGGACCGAAGUUCAAACUCACACUGCUUCUCCUCGAGCCCCCUUUCCUUAGAGUUAUCCGGAAAUGGGGAGGAGUCUGUCCGCUCAAAGAAACGACAGACUAAUCUACUUCACUAAUUAAAAGUGAUGUCACCUGGGAUCAUUAACAGA